rnacentral:rRNA from 1 species
AUUGAACGCUGGCGGCAGGUCUAACACAUGCAAGUCGAACGAGUGGCGGACGGGUGAGUAAUGUCUGGGAAACUUGCUCAUGGAGGGGGAUAACUACUGGAAACGGUAGCUAAUACCGCAUACCAUCGGAUGUGCCCAGAUGGGAUUAGCUCGUAGGUGGGGUAAAGGCUCACCUAGGAGACGAUCCCUCGCUGGGCUGAGAGGAUGACCAGCCACACUGGAACUGAGCAACGGUCCAGACUCCUACGGGAGGAAGCAGUGGGGAAUAUUGCACAAUGGGCGCAAGCCUGAUACAGCCAUGCCGGGUGUAUGAAGAAGGCCUUCGGGUUGUAAAGUCCUUUCAGCGGGGAGGCGUUACCCGCAGAAGAAGCACCGGCUAACUCCGUGCCAGCAGCCGCGGUAAUUC